rnacentral:lncRNA from 1 species
AAGCAUAAAGAAUUAUUUCAUUUAUUUUAUUUUUGUCCACUCACUCUAACGUGUUCAAAUGUUUCCCCUGGGCCCUUCUUUUUAAAAUGCCCAGUCUGCAGAGUUCGGGUUAGACCUAGUAAGAGACGAGGUAUAGUCACCCGCAUUUCCACCACUUUUCAUCAGUAGGUUACCUGUUUAACCUACCUGUGGUUUCUUUUUCCACUAGUGUUUAGUAGCUCUGAAUACUUGGGUUUAAUGUAUAUUAUUUCGGUUGUGGGUGAAGACUUGUUGACGUCUUAGAAUAUUUGUUGGAGGAUUUAUGUCAUCUUUUGGAUAAUUAUAUUUGAUGUUUGGAUAAUGUUGCGUUGUUGGUGGUAGUGGUAUUUGGGGAGCACGUAGGCUCCAGGAGUGAAGGUUGGAUUAAAAUUUUUGGAAGUGUUUGCAGGUUUUCUUUAGGAAGGGUUGUCCAUUUUCAAGGGAGGUUAUGCCGAUUUUUCGGUAAUAUCUUUCUUGGAGGUGGUCCCCGCACGACUUACUCCGGGUUUCAGGGUGAAAUUCGGGAUGGGUCGUGUCAGGAAGAGAUCCCUCUCUCAAUCGAAGAUGCAAAGCCACUGUUAGUCUGACCUAGCCGUUGCCGAGAAACCUCUCGCACGAGAGGACAGAGAGAGAACAUUUUUUCUUUAUAUCUUCUCCUCUCUUAUUCUUGCAACAAGAAACUGAUUAGGCUAACCUAUGAGACUUAAUUUGUUUUCUUUUCUUGAUCUCUAGUAAAUGAGUUUCAGUAGGAAAUCAAUUAUUUCCUCUUAAUUAUAUUCCAAAUGGAGAAUUAUAAUCAUGAAUUUUUAUUUAGAUAGAGUUCAUAAAUUUAAUUAAAGAAAAAGACAAGAAAAGAAAAAAGAUUUAGUUUUCAUGCCUGUACCGUUAGUUUUUAUUAGAUCUAAUUGAUGAUAUUCUGAUUAUAAUUUUGAUUACAAUCUUCUAUGUCAUGUAUCCGCCCCCUUUUAAUUUUUUUACCAAUUUUAGCAGCUAAUUUAAAACACUUAUUUAUGUAAUUUAUAAAUACAUUUAAGUUAAAUCAGCUAAUUUAUAAAUUACAUAAAUAAGUGGCUCUCUAAUUUAACUUUUACCUAAGACCCAGUUUUGUAUUGAGUUUUGAGAAUUAAAAUCACUUAUAAUCACCAUUUUA